rnacentral:rRNA from 1 species
AUAACGGUCCUAAGGUAGCGAAAUUCCUUGUCGGGUAAGUUCCGACCCGCACGAAUGGUGUAACGACUUGUGAGCUGUCUCAACAGGGGGCCCGGUGAAAUUGAAGUAUGGGUGAAGAUGCCCAUUACCCGCGACUGGACGGAAAGACCCCGUAGAGCUUUACUGCAGCCUGAUAUUGAGUUUCGGUAACUGAUGCACAGGAUAGGUGGGAGUCUGAGAGACACGGGUUUCGGCUCGUGUGGAGACGAUGUUGGGAUACCACUCUUCGGUUACUGAAAUUCUAACAUAGCUCUGUGAAACCAGAGGAUGGACAGUGUCAGGUGGACAGUUUGACUGGGGCGGUCGCCUCCGAAAGAGUAACGGAGGCGCCCAAAGGUACCCUCAGAAUGGAUGGAAACCAUUCGAAGAGCGCAAAGGCAGAAGGGUGCCUGACUGCGAGAGUGACAACUCGAGCAGAGACGAAAGUCGGGCUUAGUGAUCCGGCGGUAUUGAGUGGAAAAGCCGUCGCUUAACGGAUAAAAGCUACCUCGGGGAUAACAGGCUGAUCUCCCCCAAGAGUCCACAUCGACGGGGAGGUUUGGCACCUCGAUGUCGGCUCAUCGCAUCCUGGGGCUGAAUUCGGUCCCAAGGGUUUGGCUGUUCGCCAAUUAAAGCGGCACGCGAGCUGGGUUCAGAACGUCGUGAGACAGUUCGGUCCCUAUCCAUCGUGGGCGUAGGAGUCAUGAGAGGAGCUGUUCCUAGUACGAGAGGACCGGAAUGGACGCACCACUGGUGCAACUGUUGUCGUGCCAACGGCAUAGCAGGGAAGCGAAGUGCGGAUGGGAUAAACGCUGAAGGCAUCUAAGCGUGAAGCCCACCUCAAGAAUAAGACUCCACAAUAGACCCCUGGAGGACUACCAGGUAGAUAGGUCAUCGGUGGAAGCGCUGUAAGGCGUGUAGCUUGAUGAUACUAAUCGGUCGAAAGCUUCAUUUA